GACGAACGCUGGCGGCAGGCCUAACACAUGCAAGUCGAGCGAGCGGCGGACGGGUGAGUAAUGUCUGGGAAACUGCCUGAUGGAGGGGGGUAACUACUGGAAAAGGUAGCUAAUACCGCAUACCAUCAGAUGUGCCCAGCUGGGAGUAGCUAGUAGGUGGGGUAACGGCUCACCUAGGCGACGAUCCCUAGCUGGUCUGAGAGGAUGACCAGCCAAACUGGAGAUGAGACACGGGACAGACGCCUACGGGAGGCAGCAGUGGGGAAUAUUGCAGAAUGGGCGCAAGCCUGAUGCAGCCAUGCCGCGGGGGUGAAGAAGGCCUUCGGGUUGUAAAGCACUUUCAGCGGGGAGGCGUUACCCGCAGAAGAAGCACCGGCUAACUCCGUGCCAGCAGCCGCGGUAAUUC
rnacentral:rRNA from 1 species